CUACUAUCAGUUUUCAUGUUUAUAUGCAUACAUAUGCAAAAUCUUCCUUUUUUGAACACAUUUAUUCUUCUCUCUCUGGUGGUGCUCUGCUCCCAUAACAAUAACAAUAUCUUCUUGUCCAUCUCAGAUUGUAAAAUGUUGUUAAUAUAUAACACCGAGCUUUGUUAUGUUAAGAGCCAGAAAAUCUAGCUACCUCAACAUUCAUUCUCCCAGUUGUCUAGUUUGUAUAGACAAGUUCUGCUAGGUGAUAUAUGCACCACUCUUCCACUUCAUCACCCUAACCUUCAAGGAAUUAAUAUGCAGGUUAUUGAGAGAAUUGAACAUCAUAGGUGGACUCCAUUUGCUCAUAAUGAACAAAGAAUUAUCUUCAUCUGAAUGUUGUUCCUUUGCUUUUUGAGAGCUUGUUUCUACUUCAGCCUCAUCAAUCAGCUUCACAUGAUCAAAGGAAGGAUGAGUCACACCUUGAGUACUCUGAUGUGUACCUGCAGAUUCUUCCACACUUUCAAAGGGGUUCCAAAUGAGCUUGAAACUCCUUCAGUACAUUCAGAAGUUGAAGAUGCACUCUUAGUAGGAAAAUUAACAUUUUUCUCUCUUGCAAGGAGUUUGAUCUCAAGUUUGGAUUGGUUGAGCAACCAGUCCACUGUUUUGCUUGCUUUUUCAAAG